rnacentral:rRNA from 1 species
AGUGAACGCUGGCGGUAUGCCUAACACAUGCAAGUCGAACGGCAGCACAGUAAGAGUUUGCCUUUACGGGUGGCGGGUGGCGGACGGGUGAGGAAUACAUCGGAAUCUUCUUUUUCGUGGGGGAUAACGUAGGGCAACAUAUGCUAACACCUCAUACGUCCUACGGGUUAAUGCAGUAGUUAAUCGCACCUUUGCUGUCUGAAUUAGACGAUGUCGGAUUAGCUAGUUGGCGGGGUAAAGGCCCACCAAGGCGACGAUACGUAGCUGAUCUGAGAGGAUGAUCGGCCACACUGGAACUGAGACACGGUCCAGACUCCUACGGGAGGCAGCAGUAGGGAAUCUUGGACAAUGGGCGCAAGCCUGAUGCAGCAAUGCCGCGUGAGUGAUGAAGGCCUUCGGAUUGUAAAGCCCUUUUAUUAGGAAAGAAAAGAUGUGUAAGAAACCACGGCCGUUCUGACGGUACCUAAAGAAAAAGCACCGGCUAACUACGUG